AUCAAUAAAUCUACUCUGUACAUAGGAAGUGGAUGAAAAAACUGGGAGGAAAAAGAAACUUCAGGAACUAGGUUUUCUGUGAGAUCCUUGGGGCUUCCAGGAUGUAAUUUUAUUAUCAGCAUUAAUCAAGGAGAAUGAUUCGUGCUUAGUGGAAAGCAAGGUUAAAGUGCCUGUGUCCAUGAAGGGAGCUGUGAUGGAGCUGCUGAGCAGCCUGGCCUUCCCAGGCUCACAGCAAGAUGGCAUUAAAACAGCACACUGAGCUCCUCCCGAGGGCAGGGAUGGCCCACGAGCUCCUGCUGCCAUGGCAAUGGCCACAACUGUGCAAAAAACCUGAUAUUUAAAAAGUAAACCAAGUUAGCUGGGUUUUGCUGAGGAAUGGUUUCUCGGAUGACUCACUGCAUCUGCAAAACGGCAAAGCACAACCUCCCCAGCAGUGAUCUUGCUGCACAUCCACAUUCUGCCUCAAUGAGGAUGUGAACUGCUGCCUAAACCCCUCAGCUCUGAGGAAACAGUAACUUUGCUGUGUAGGAAUGCAUGAACUCCUAGUUGUCCUUAAAAUGAAAUUAGAAAUUCCAGAAAUUUAUUGGUGGAUGUUCUGCUUCCGUUCCCAAGUCUUGCUUCAGGAGCUGGUGAGUAGGAAAUUGAGUAGAUGGAACGAGCCCAGAGAUUAUCCCAGACAGAAAUAAGCCCAACACACUCAGAGAAGAAUGAAGGUGUAGCAUGAGGCCACCACAGCAGGUCUGCCUGGGAAAGCUCAAACCCCAAGCUUUAAAUCAGUUCUCACACUGCAGUGUGAGACCUGGAAGGGCUGGCCACGACUUCUGGGCUGUCGUGCAAUGCACAGCUUCAGUCUCAGAAGAGAAACUGCUCUGCUAAACUGGACCUUGCUUAUUGGGAGUUCCAAUCAAUUUGAUUUUUCAUUCUCUUGUCUUCAGCUGCUGAUCAGCUCUAGACUUCCUGUAUUUCCUUCCAUGAAUUGAAGCCCAACUUCAGAGUUUGUAUCUUCUGAGAGAUGCUCAUAAAUCCCGAUUGUUGUGGUCUUCACUGGAUUUCAGGUCCCAAAGAACUGCAAAGUGUGACCUACUGAUGGAAGCUCUGUCACUUGUUCCAUGUGUCACUGGCCCCUAAAAUAUUUUACCUUUCCAACAGCUGAAUUUCUUGUGUAUUGUGGUCAGAGUGUGAAAUACCACCAGAAAUGAAGUGACAAUAACAAAAUGCCAUUGAAGUAAACGUUGAAAGGUACUGGCAUGAGCAGAAUCAGGAUUUUGUCCUGCAACUCUACAUCAAAGCCUCGUCAGCUCUCAUCUAAUUAGCACAGAGCACCACUUUCCCCUUUCCACUUCUGCUGACAACUGAAUGAUCUUCACUGUUCGAAUUAAUUUGAAAAAUGUGUACGUCAAAAUUAUUCCAGAUUUGGCAACAAGAUGAGAUCUGAAUCAGAAUGUACUGUCUGAAUGCAAUAUAUAAUAAGAAGAAAUGACAUCUCUGAUCAGGCUACAAGUUAUCCAAACCUAUCUCUGAGGCAAAAAUGAACUGUGUUGCUUCUAAAAUGCAAAGACAUGCAAAGCACAAGCAAGUCAGAGGUUUUUCUUUUUCAGAGGUAUUUUGUUUCCAAAUGGA